GGAAGGAUCAUUAACAGAGAUGUGCCCUUUAUGGGGUAGACCUCCAACCCGAUGUUAACAAACUUUGUUGCUUUGGCGGGUCCGUAAAAGCCCCAUGGAGAACAUGGGCUUUUUCCCACUGCUGCUAAGUGGUGUAGUACCUGCCAGAGGAAAGCAAAACUCUGAAUUAGUGUUGUCCGAGUUUAUUUUAUAACGUUAAAACUUUCAACAACGGAUCUCUUGGUUCUGGCAUCGAUGAAGAACGCAGCGAAAUGCGAUAAGUAAUGUGAAUUGCAGAAUUCAGUGAAUCAUCGAAUCUUUGAACGCAUAUUGCGCCCUCUGGUAUUCCGGGGGGCAUGCCUAUUCGAGCGUCAUUAAAACCUCUCAAGCACAGCUUGGUAUUGGGCUUUCAUCAACUGAUGGGCCUAAAACUUAGUGGCCAUAUAUAUAACCCUGUGCUUCAAGCGUAGUAAAUAAAAAAACUCGUCUGAUAGCAAGGGGGGGAGAAAAGUGUGCCAAAUAACCCCACAAAAAUUAAAAAGUUGACCUCGGAUUAGGUAGGAAUACCCGCUGAACUUAAGCAUAUCAAUAAGCGGAGGAAAAGAAACCAACUGGGAUUGCCUCAGUAACGGCGAGUGAAGCGGCAAUAGCUCAAAUUUGAAAUCUGGCUCUCUUUCGGGAGCCCGAAUUGUAAUUUGUAGAGGAUGCUUCGGCUUUUGAUUUCAGUCAAAGUUCCUUGGAAUAGGACGUCAUAGAGGGUGAGAAUCCCGUUUGUGACUUGAAAGUCUUGGCCAUGUGAAGCUCCUUCGACGAGUCGAGUUGUUUGGGAAUGCAGCUCUAAAUGGGUGGUAAAUUUCAUCUAAAGCUAAAUACCGGCCAGAGACCGAUAGCGCACAAGUAGAGUGAUCGAAAGAUGAAAAGCACUUUGGAAAGAGAGUUAAACAGUACGUGAAAUUGUUGAAAGGGAAGCGCUUGCAACCAGACUUGCUUGCAGCUGAUCAUCCGGUGGUCCCCACCACCGGUGCACUCAGCUGUAAUCAGGCCAGCAUCAGUUUGGGCGGCUGGAUAAAGGCCGCCGGGAAUGUGGCUCUCCUUCGGGGGAGUGUUAUAGCCCGAGGCGAAAUACAGCCUGCCUGGACUGAGGACCGCGCUUCGGCUAGGAUGCUGGCGUAAUGGUUGUAAGCGACCCGUCUUGAAACACGGACCAAGGAGUCUAACAUCUAUGCGAGUGUUUGGGUGUCAAACCCGGAACGCGUAAUAAAAGUGAACGUAGGUGGGAACUCUUCAAGGAGUGCACCAUCGACCGAUCCGGAAGUCUUCGGAUGGAUUUGAGUAAGAGCAUAGCUGUUGGGACCCGAAAGAUGGUGAACUAUGCCUGAAUAGGGUGAAGCCAGAGGAAACUCUGGUGGAGGCUCGCAGCGGUUCUGACGUGCAAAUCGAUCGUCAAAUUUGGGUAUAGGGGCGAAAGACUAAUCGAACCAUCUAGUAGCUGGUUCCUGC
rnacentral:misc_RNA from 1 species